rnacentral:lncRNA from 1 species
GUGUGCCCAAAAACGAAGCAAAAACAAAAAGGAUAUAUCCAUCCACACGCGUGCAGGCCGCAUAUAAUAAAACCAACAAAAAAAAAAACAAACACAAAUGCCAAAAGAAAGAAAAAUCAUGCAACAGCAGCCUCAGGGGGAAAAUUCGCGGAAACUUGCACCCAAAAAAUUGACAAAAAACGUGAACAAAAUUACGCAAAAUGCAAUCGCGUGUGCC